GUAGGGGGUAGAAUUGUUACUGGAUAGAUAUGAUCUUGCAAGGAGCUGUAAAGGCUACUUCAAUAAGAGGAUUAGAGACCCUCGUAUUGAGUCUUUGUAGUUUGUGCUUCCUUAGUUGAAACUAAAAGGAUUUGGCAGCCGACGAAGUCCUUCCGGGGGAGUGUGCACGAUAAAAGAUGAUCCGCUUAGAAGUCUACCCCAUUUAUUUGAGUCAGUGUAUAUCCGGUUUUAUAUUCAUGGUCUGAGCCUAUGGGUGUAUCUAGUUUGUCAGUAAAGCCAGG
rnacentral:rRNA from 1 species